CGACCCGAUCCCGGUCACAGUGUUUGUUAGCCAGCUAAGUCAUAUGCAUUUACCUGUAAGACAAUUAUUUGCCUAUAAAUACCCACCUUCACAGUGAUUUCUCCUUUUACAACAAGAAAAUAAAAAUCACAAGUUAGGGAGAAGAAGAAAUGAGAGAGAGAGUGAGAGAAAGAAAGAUAAAAACCAAUGCAUGUUGCCACCAGAGAUCGCCGGAGCCACCACAUGCCAGGGCAUCGUCAAGCUCGUCAUCACCGUCAACCGCAUCUUAGAAUCGCCGGAAACCGCCGCCUCUUAAGCUUUGUUUUCGUCCGUUCAGUAAAUCAGCUAUAUCUCCCUAACCGUUGAGAAUCUCUCGCAUGCAAGACCAUCAACGUGUUCCUCUCGUCGAGACGAAGCCGUAGACACCAACCACGUCGCAAUCGGAGCUCAGACGAAGCCGUACGCGCCUCCAGAAGUUACGACGACUUCGCGCGUUUCGUCCACGCGCCGCCACCGGCUAUCGCCUCCGCCGUCGUCCGCCACCGUCCUCCGCCGCAGAUCCGCCGCUGCCGGAAAUCGCCUCCGCCGUCACCGCCGGCCAACUUUCCGGUAAGACGCCGCCGCCCUCCGCCGUCGCGGUCGGUGACCGAAACCGGUGACUUGCCGGUGACUCGGUCAACUCGGCCGAGUCAACUCGGUUGACUCGGUAAACCGGUUGGUUGACUGGUUUGACCGGUUUAAAUUAAUUUCGGUUCGAUUAAGGUAAACCGGCCGGUUAUGUCAAAUCGAUUUCUGGUCAAGGGUUGACCGGAUUGACCUUUGACCAGCGAGUUGACUUUUCCGCAAACCUUGACCAGUUCCGUUUUUAACCGUUCGAAAGGCGUUCUGACUCAGAAUUUCGAUCUGAUUUCAGAUAUGGAGUCUAUUUGAGCAGCUGGAGUUCAUAAACACUACUUUUCUAUUGCUAAGGUGAGGGUCUAUUCCCGAACUCCUCUUACACGGCUUAGGACCUCGAAUAAAUAUAACUUAUUUCUAAUGUGUUCCGUCUGCUUGAAAUCGAGUCUGUCAUUGCUUGUUUAGUUAUUAGGUUCUUUGCAUAAACCGGAACUAGGGGGCUAGAGGAUUCAACAUUGAUUGUUUCACUUAAAUGUAAAAUCUUAGCUAGGAUUGUUUUUGUGUGGAGACGGAUACAGAGACGGACUUCUGUAUGCCGGAUUGUAUGAGGUUAUGGCCAACUUUAGUCGACCGGUUGAGCUGUAGCCUGGAAGUGUCGAUAAAUCGUCCACGGGCGGUGUCCGAGCACUAUCUCGAGUUGUGUUAUGUUUUUGGCCUGUUAGUGGGCGGCGAGUGUGCACCUCGCUAGGACCAUUGUUUGUUGCUUGGGUACUUUAGGUACCGUGUUUGACAUGCAUUAGAAUUAAUUUAUAUUUAUUCGGAGUGCUAUGUCCGGGUCCAUGGACUUCGGGGUAGCAUCCCCCAUACCUCAUUGGGCGAUUCACCUAUCGCUCACCCCCCUCACUCUUCCCCUUUUUCAGGUGAGACAAAUAAGUAUGUGAUAUUUGGACGGACUUGGUGCUACUGGACUUUUCCUACAGAUUUUUAUUUGGGUUUUGGGUGAGCGUUAUUGAGUUUAUGGGCUUUUAUAUUAUGGGAUAUUGUUGGUGGCCCGUCGUCCUUAGUGAGAAGGAGACGGAUGUCACAUUGUUGUAUGAUGACGCGUCGGGGGUGACACGCUGUCCUCCAGAUAGGAGGUGACGGGUGUGGCAAUUUUGGUAUCAGAGCGGGGUUCCAUCCCGGUUCCGUCCGGGAUGGCGGUCAGGGGAUUCGGUUUCCAUCGGUUUUCAAUGUUCUUUAAAAAAAAAAAAUAUAUAUAUUUAUAUAUUUGGAAAAUUCUUUUAGCACCAUUCUGUCCAGUGAUUACUAACUCAAAUGUCUCUUUCUAUGACGAUGAGUAAAAACAUCGUCAUUCGUCCUUCGACUAACAGGGUUCUCGCCAGAUGUUCAGCAGUUGGGCGAUGUUUAAGUUCGUCAGUUUUCUCGGGAGUUAUCAGUUUCUUCGGUCAUGAUUUCGAGGUUAUCCAGGAGUGGAUAUGUGACGUUUCUGCCACCAGCCCACUUCAAGCAAUCGUUCCACGAGUUUUGUUACUGGAGAUUAUGUGGUGUGUGGUAUGAGCCAUUGGUUGGCAUGUGUACGAGUAUAUUGACUAUUUUGGAGGUAUAUUUGUUUUGUGAACUCGUGGAGAUCGCUUUUGAAUUGGGGUGCAGCAGCUUGCGUUGUGUAGAUGUUGGAGUUACACUUUGGUAUGUUUACCAAUUUUGGCAGUGUUGAUCUUUUCAGAGAUGUGUCAGUUUGGACAACUGACAUAGGACAUUGGAAGCUAUUUAUAUUCAUCGCAGUAUACCAGUUAUGCUUGGAGGACCUAUUUGUCCGGAGACUCGUCAGAGGUGGAGCUACGUUUUUACGAUGUCAUGCUUAGGAUGGAUUUGCUAUCACGACAUCGAGUAGUGUUGGAUUGCCUGAAGGCACGAGUUCAUAUUUCUGGAGCAGAUGGAAUUUUUAUUGCAUGCAUGCUACAUACUGAGGGGUUAUGGAAUAUAAGAACAUAGAGAUUUUUGGCUACCAUUUCGAUGGUUAAGGAUGAUGGACAGCAUGAGCUACAGGAUCUUCCGGUUAUUGUAGGAUAUGAGGAUAUAAUUGUGACCUUUGGAACGGCCACAACAAGACACAUGAGACGCUUUUGUGAUUUGUUUGGAGCAAACAUCACUGGUUUCACGAGUUUCUUAUCAUCUGUCACGAGCAGGGAUGACUGAGUGGAGAAAGCAAUUGGAGGAACUCUUUGAUAAGGGAUUUAUCAGAUGAAGUAUUUCACCAUGGAGAGCAUCAUUGUUGUUGUAAAGAAGAAAGGUGGGAGUUAAGAGAUUAAUGGAGGUUCAUCGUUUUCGAAGUUUAUCUUGGCAUCAGGAUACCAUCAGAUUGCUAUAGCUGAGGAGUAUGUAUGGAAUGCAGAUUUCCGUUAUGGAUAUUAUGAGUUUGUAGUGAUACCAUUUGGGUUGACAAAGGCACCGUUGCAUUCAUGAAGAAAUAAUGACGUUUUCGUGAACAUUUGGAUAGGUGUGCGAUUGUAUUCAUCAACGAAAUGCUGAUUUAUUUUGGAGUAGAAAUGAGAUUUGUGAGCAUUUAGAAGAUUGUGUUGGAUAAGCUUAGAGAGAAUCAGUUGUUCGCUAAGUUGAGGAAUUGUAGCUUUUGGCAGAGGAAUGUCGGAUUUUUGAGUAACAUGGUUUUGAAAGCAGAAUUUUGAUAGGUCCAAAGAAGAUUAAUAGCGUUUCGGGGAGAUCGAAACCUAAGAGCACUACAGAAAUCUGUCGUUCUUUUUGGGUUAACAGUGUACUACUAGAAGUUCAUCAAGGGUUUCACCGUUAUAGUAAUGUUGAAGAUACAUUCUACAUGUAAAGACGUUAAGUGUGGUUGGAUAGAUUUUUGUUCGAGGAGUUUCACGAAAUAGAAGUACAACUAAUGAAGACACCAGUUUUGGUUCUACCGUGGCUGAGGCUUAUUCUGAUGCGCCAUAUACUGGCUUGGAUUUAAAUUGAGGUAAGAAGAUUAAGUCAUUCAUAUGCAUCACGCCAGAGAGGUUGUAGUGGUAAUUGCGUUAUAGUUUUGGAGAUCGUAAUUGUACGAGAAGGAAGUCCAGAUUCUAUGGGAUCAUUAGAGUCUGACAUUUAUCUACACAUUAAAAAUUGCAAUUUGGCAGUGCAGUCGGAAUGAGUUUGUAGCAGGCUAUAGUUUGGAUAUCGCAUGCCAUCUGGUAAGGACAACCAGGUGACAAAUGUCUUGGGUAGGCAUAUGAGCGACGUAUUUGGAACAAAGGAAGAUCAGGAGUUUACUGGGACAGUUGCUAGUCUCAAAUUGUGUGUCGUAUUGUCAAGGGAAAGACAUAUGGCCUUGAGGAUUGAAGCAUGCAGUUUUGCUAUGGAGGAUACGCCAUGCGCAGGUUAGCCUUAUGGUUUUGGUUGAAUAGAUCGAGAUUGGGAAUAUUGGAUAUCAUACAGCUUGGAGCAGGAUGCACCUAUAUCGAAACCGAGUUUGUAUGUUGGACGAUAAGCUGCUAAGAAAAGGGAUCUUACAGCAAACACAUCACUCGUGUUACUCUACCCAUCAGAAAUAUCAAGGAGUUCAAAGAUAUAAAGCGUUACUAUCAUUUGCCUAUUAUGAAAAAGAUUGUAGCUACAUUGCGUCUAUGUCAGAUGGUUAUGGCAGAGGAUCAGUUAUCGAUCAUGUUAUUUUGAGCUUGCUUUUGCUGAAGUGGAAAAGGAAAUGAGACAUGGUGAUUAUGGAUAUCGUUACUGAAUUUUUUUUUAAUCACCGUAUGUGGAAAGGAUGCCACAUGGGUAGUCAUGGAUAGACUUACCAAGUCAGUUCAUUUCCUAAAUAAUUUAGAAGGCAGAGAGAGCUGAUUAGUUGGCGCAGAUUUAUAUUAGCAUGAUUUUGAGGUUGCAUGGAGCUCUUGUCAGCAUUGUCUCGGAUUGGGAUUCAAAGUUCACCUCUACAUUUUGGAGUCAUUCAGAAGGCGUUUGGGACAAGGAUCUAUAUGAAUACAACUUAUUAUCAGCAUACAAAUGGUCAGUCAGAAAGGACUACUCAGAACUUAAAAGGAUAUGUUUAGGGAUUGCGUCUUCAAAUGGGAUGGAAGUUCUGAAAUCAUCGACCUCUAAUAGAGUUUGCCUAAGAUCGACAAUUAUCAUUCAAGCAUUGAGAUGGACCGUACGAGGCUGUUUAUGGUAGGCCUUAUCGUAUACCACUUUGUUGGACCAAAGUGGGGGAGCGACAUGAGUUAAAAUUAUUAAUGGUUUAAGAGACGGUAGAGCAAAUGGAUAUGCUCAAAGAUUGGCUUUAUAAAACCCAUAGCCGUCAGAGGAGUUAUGCAGCUAACCGCUGUAAGGAAUUGAAGCUACAUAUGGGCGAUGUAGUAAACCCGAAAAUGAGAAAAUUUCAGAGAGGAUCAAAAACUUAGAAGCUAAAGCAGCUUAAACCAUGGUACAUGAGAUUGUAUCCUUCGAAGGAGCGGAUUGGAGCAGUUGCUUGCAGCUGAUUUAUCAGCAGUGUAUCAGAUUACUACAACGUGGUUCAUAUGUCAGCGUUGAGAAAAGCUAAAGGAAAACCAGAGUUAUUUUGCAGCAGACGUCAAAUCACCGCAAGAAGAUUGUGCUGGCCUUGUCAGCUAGUGUAGAAUUUGUAUCAUCAAGCGAAAGCAGUUUAGAGAAUGUCUACUGUGUUUGUCUGAGUUUGUUGAGAGUGAGAUGAGACCUGAGAGACCGAGCAUAUUGAUUAUUCAGAAGUUCGUUUCAAUGAUGUUGGGGAAUUAACGGACGACUCGAAUUCGGGGACGAAUUCUUUGUAGUGGGGGAGAAUUGUAACGACCCGAUCCCGGUCACAGUGUUUGUUAGCCAGCUAAGUCAUAUGCAUUUACCUGUAAGACAAUUAUUUGCCUAUAAAUACCCACCUUCACAGUGAUUUCUCCUUUUACAACAAGAAAAUAAAAAUCACAAGUUAGGGAGAAGAAGAAAUGAGAGAGAGAGUGAGAGAAAGAAAGAUAAAAACCAAUGCAUGUUGCCACCAGAGAUCGCCGGAGCCACCACAUGCCAGGGCAUCGUCAAGCUCGUCAUCACCGUCAACCGCAUCUUAGAAUCGCCGGAAACCGCCGCCUCUUAAGCUUUGUUUUCGUCCGUUCAGUAAAUCAGCUAUAUCUCCCUAACCGUUGAGAAUCUCUCGCAUGCAAGACCAUCAACGUGUUCCUCUCGUCGAGACGAAGCCGUAGACACCAACCACGUCGCAAUCGGAGCUCAGACGAAGCCGUACGCGCCUCCAGAAGUUACGACGACUUCGCGCGUUUCGUCCACGCGCCGCCACCGGCUAUCGCCUCCGCCGUCGUCCGCCACCGUCCUCCGCCGCAGAUCCGCCGCUGCCGGAAAUCGCCUCCGCCGUCACCGCCGGCCAACUUUCCGAUAUGGAGUCUAUUUGAGCAGCUGGAGUUCAUAAACACUACUUUUCUAUUGCUAAGGUGAGGGUCUAUUCCCGAACUCCUCUUACACGGCUUAGGACCUCGAAUAAAUAUAACUUAUUUCUAAUGUGUUCCGUCUGCUUGAAAUCGAGUCUGUCAUUGCUUGUUUAGUUAUUAGGUUCUUUGCAUAAACCGGAACUAGGGGGCUAGAGGAUUCAACAUUGAUUGUUUCACUUAAAUGUAAAAUCUUAGCUAGGAUUGUUUUUGUGUGGAGACGGAUACAGAGACGGACUUCUGUAUGCCGGAUUGUAUGAGGUUAUGGCCAACUUUAGUCGACCGGUUGAGCUGUAGCCUGGAAGUGUCGAUAAAUCGUCCACGGGCGGUGUCCGAGCACUAUCUCGAGUUGUGUUAUGUUUUUGGCCUGUUAGUGGGCGGCGAGUGUGCACCUCGCUAGGACCAUUGUUUGUUGCUUGGGUACUUUAGGUACCGUGUUUGACAUGCAUUAGAAUUAAUUUAUAUUUAUUCGGAGUGCUA